AUCCAGCUGACGAGUCCCAAGUAGGACGAAAUGCGCGUCCUGGAU
rfam:Schistosoma curassoni strain Dakar, Senegal genome assembly, scaffold: SCTD_scaffold0001317